UUUAAAUUGUUUCUGUCUGUAUCUGCAAUAUAUGACUUGUUUCGAAUUUCCGACAUAUACAUAACCUCAUAACACCAUGUCUAUAUUAUUUUCUCAAGUAAAUAAAAAUGUUCUACAAAAGUCCAUUCAAUUCAUGCAUUCACCUAAGACUCUUCCGCAAUUUCGUUGUCGUAUAAAUUGCCGAAAGUAUAGUAAUAAUUCUCCACUACCAAAACC